UACAGAGGGUGCGAGCGUUAAUCGGAAUUACUGGGCGUAAAGCGUGCGUAGACGGUUAUUUAAGUCGGGUGUGAAAGCCCCGGGCUCAACCUGGGAAUUGCAUUCGAGACUGAAUAGCUAGGGUACGGUAGAGGGAAGUGGAAUUUCCGGUGUAGCGGUGAAAUGCGUAGAUAUCGGAAGGAACAUCAGUGGCGAAAGCGGUGCACUGGCUGGUUUCUGACGCUGAGGUGCGAAAGCCAGGGGAGCAAACGGG
rnacentral:rRNA from 1 species